GGUAGGAUAAGCUAUUCAAGCUAGCGGGUUCAUACCCCGAAAAAGAGGGAUCCUCUCCUGCUA
rnacentral:tRNA from 1 species